AGAGUUUGAUCCUGGCUCAGGAUGAACGCUGGCGGCGUGCCUAAUACAUGCAAGUCGAGCGAACGGACGAGAAGCUUGCUUCUCUGAUGUUAGCGGCGGACGGGUGAGUAACACGUGGAUAACCUACCUAUAAGACUGGGAUAACUUCGGGAAACCGGAGCUAAUACCGGAUAAUAUUUUGAACCGCAUGGUUCAAAAGUGAAAGACGGUCUUGCUGUCACUUAUAGAUGGAUCCGCGCUGCAUUAGCUAGUUGGUAAGGUAACGGCUUACCAAGGCAACGAUGCAUAGCCGACCUGAGAGGGUGAUCGGCCACACUGGAACUGAGACACGGUCCAGACUCCUACGGGAGGCAGCAGUAGGGAAUCUUCCGCAAUGGGCGAAAGCCUGACGGAGCAACGCCGCGUGAGUGAUGAAGGUCUUCGGAUCGUAAAACUCUGUUAUUAGGGAAGAACAUAUGUGUAAGUAACUGUGCACAUCUUGACGGUACCUAAUCAGAAAGCCACGGCUAACUACGUGCCAGCAGCCGCGGUAAUACGUAGGUGGCAAGCGUUAUCCGGAAUUAUUGGGCGUAAAGCGCGCGUAGGCGGUUUUUUAAGUCUGAUGUGAAAGCCCACGGCUCAACCGUGGAGGGUCAUUGGAAACUGGAAAACUUGAGUGCAGAAGAGGAAAGUGGAAUUCCAUGUGUAGCGGUGAAAUGCGCAGAGAUAUGGAGGAACACCAGUGGCGAAGGCGACUUUCUGGUCUGUAACUGACGCUGAUGUGCGAAAGCGUGGGGAUCAAACAGGAUUAGAUACCCUGGUAGUCCACGCCGUAAACGAUGAGUGCUAAGUGUUAGGGGGUUUCCGCCCCUUAGUGCUGCAGCUAACGCAUUAAGCACUCCGCCUGGGGAGUACGACCGCAAGGUUGAAACUCAAAGGAAUU
rnacentral:rRNA from 1 species